rnacentral:rRNA from 1 species
UGGCGACCGGCGCACGGUGAGUAACGCGUAUGCAACUUACCUAUCAGAGGGGGAUAGCCCGGCGAAGUCGGAUUAAUACCCCAUAAACAGGGGUCCCGCAUGGGAAUAUUUGUUAAAGAUUCAUCGCUGAUAGAUAGGCAUGCGUUCCAUUAGGCAGUUGGCGGGGUAACGGCCCACCAAACCGACGAUGGAUAGGGGUUCUGAGAGGAAGGUCCCCCACAUUGGUACUGAGACACGGACCAA